rnacentral:tRNA from 1 species
GACACGGUGGCCGAGCGGUUAGGCAAUGGUCUGCAAAACCAUGUAGGCGGGUUCAACUCCCGCUCGUGUCU